AGGUGGUAAAUCCUGGCCAAGGCUCCUCGAGCCAGGCCGGCUGGCAGUGCUGCAUCGUGCUGAAGGCGCUGAGGUUGCAGCGGAUGCAUUCCGGGCCAGUGAUAUGAUGUGGACAGGAAAAGUCUUUUGUUCUGGGAAAAUGGAGGACUGAAACCUCUUCAUGUCUUUUUCCCAGGCCCUGAUUUAGGAAGACCAAAACAGGGACUUCUACAGUAGCAGCUUAAUCAGCAGAUGCUGGGUGGUCGCCUCUGCACAUGGCCUGGGGGGCGGGGCGCCUUACCGCGUCACACUGGGUGGAUGGGCCUGUGUGUGGCCUCUCUCCAGCUGUGGCUGACAGUACUCACUCAGCCCAGGCUUCCAGGCCCUCCUGGGCCCUCCUAUCCACUGAAGGAAAUGGGAGAUGAGUGGGUAAUGGAAAAGCCUUUGGAGUCAGAUGUAAAUCCAUGACUUGACCACUUAUUGCUGUGAGACCCUGGACAGCUGGAUAUAGAGUUCUUGUUCUAGCAUCCGCCCUGGGAAUCCCCGGAACUGGGCCUCUUACCGACACCAUUGCCUGUAAUCCACAAACCUAGGAGCACAUGGUUAAAGCAUGAGAUGUGAAACCAGGAAGAACCAGGUCUGAACCUUAGCUCCACCAGUGGUAGCUUCAAACCUUGGUCCUUUCUGAGCCUGCUUCUUCAACCGUAAGGAACUCGGAAACGGGACCCAGAAAGUUGUUUUCUCAAGUGGAUGGAACAACACAAGCAAUCAUUCUCUGCAUCUUAAUUCCCUCAUCUGUAAAAUGGAAAUAAUACACCUACCUUCUCAGUUUACUGUGAGGAAAAAACGAAUCAAUACAUAUAUAAAGCACCUGGCACAGUGCGUGGCAUAGGAGGUUUCCUUGGGAAUUCCUUCAGAAGUUAAAUAGCUUACCCAAGGUGUCACAACUACGUAAGGUGGCCCAGCUCAAGAUUCAAAUGCAAGUUCAUAUGAUUCUGAA
rnacentral:lncRNA from 1 species